rnacentral:rRNA from 1 species
GAUGAACGCUGGCGGCGUGCCUAAUACAUGCAAGUCGAGCGAACAGACGAGGAGCUUGCUCCUCUGACGUUAGCGGCGGACGGGAGAGUAACACGUGGAUAACCUACCUAUAAGACUGGGAUAACUUCGGGAAACCGGAGCUAAUACCGGAUAAUAUAUUGAACCGGAGGGUUCAAUAGUGAAAGACGGUUUUGCUGUAACUUAUAGAUGGAUCCGCGCCGCAUUGGCUAGUUGGUAAGGUAACGGCUUACCAAGGCAAGGAUGCGUAGCCGACCUGUGAGGGUGAUCGGCCACACUGGAACUGAGCCGCGGUCCAGACUCCUACGGGAGGCAGCAGUAGGGAAUCUUCCGCAAUGGGCGGAAGCCUGACGGAGCAGCGCCGCGUGAGUGAUGAAGGUCUUCGGAUCGUAAAACUCUGUUAUUAGGGAAGAACAAAUGUGUAAGUAACUAUGCACGUCUUGACGGUACCUAAUCAGAAAGCCACGGCUAACUACGUG